rnacentral:rRNA from 1 species
GACGUAGGUGGCGAACGUUAUCCGGAAUUAUUGGGCGUAAAGGGUGCGUAGGCGGCAUGAUAAGUUAUUGGCGGUAAAUCGAGGCUCAACCUCGUGGAAACUGAUAAUACUGUUUUGCUUGAGUACAGGAGAGGUUAACGGAACUCCAUGUGGAGCGGUAAAAUGUGUAGAUAUAUGGAAGAACAUCAAUAACGGCGAAGGCAGUUAACUAUCCUGUUA